rnacentral:rRNA from 1 species
UACAGAGGUCUCAAGCGUUGUUCGGAUUCAUUGGGCGUAAAGGGUGUGUAGGUGGCGCCGUUAGUCGGGUGUGAAAUUUCGGAGCUUAACUCGAAACUGCAUUCGAUACUGCGGUGCUUGAGGACUGGAGAGGAGACUGGAAUUCAUGGUGAGCAGUGAAAUGCGUAGAGAUCAUGAGGAAGACCAGUGGCGAAGGCGGGUCUCUGGACAGUUCCUGACACUGAGACACGAAGGCCAGGGGAGCAAACGGG